CUGAAGAGUCCACACUGUAAACUGGAGAUACUGGGCAUUACUAUGCAUAGAUACAAUCGCCUGCUGGAUUCAGGAGUGAUGCUGUUCUCUACUGGACUGGAGAAUCCACACUGUAAACUGGCGAGAUUGGAGUACAGUUAGAGCUGCUGAAGAAGUGGAAAAGGUGGAAGCUGGGGAAGGACAUAGAGGAGGAGUCCAGACAGGCAGCC